rnacentral:rRNA from 1 species
AUUGAACGCUGGCGGCAGGCCUAACACAUGCAAGUCGAGCGGGGUUUUCGGACCUAGCGGCGGACGGGUGAGUAAUGCGUAGGAAGCUGCCCGAUAGAGGGGGAUACCAGUUGGAAACGACUGUUAAUACCGCAUAAUGUCUACGGACCAAAGUGUGGGACCUUCGGGCCACAUGCUAUCGGAUGCGCCUACGUGGGAUUAGCUAGUUGGUGAGGUAAUGGCUCACCAAGGCGACGAUCUCUAGCGGGUUUGAGAGGAUGAUCAGCCACACUGGAACUGAGACACGGUCCAGACGCCUACGGGAGGCAGCAGUGGGGAAUAUUGGACAAUGGGCGCAAGCCUGAUCCAGCCAUGCCGCGUGUGUGAAGAAGGCCUUCGGGUUGUAAAGCACUUUCAGCGAGGAGGAAGGGGUGUGUGUUAAUAGUACACACCUUUGACGUUACUCGCAGAAGAAGCACCGGCUAACUCUGUGCCAGCCGCCGCGGUAAGAC